GACGAACGCUGGCGGCGUGCUUAACACAUGCAAGUCGAACGGAAAGGCCCUGCUUUUGUGGGGUGCUCGAGUGGCGAACGGGUGAGUAACACGUGAGUAACCUGCCCUUGACUUUGGGAUAACUUAAGGAAACUGGGGCUAAUACCGGAUAGGAGCUCCUGCUGCAUGGUGGGGGUUGGAAAGUUUCGGCGGUUGGGGAUGGACUCGCGGCUUAUCAGCUUGUUGGUGGGGUAGUGGCUUACCAAGGCUUUGACGGGUAGCCGGCCUGAGAGGGUGACCGGCCACAUUGGGACUGAGAGACGGCCCAGACUCCUACGGGAGGCAGCAGUGGGGAAUAUUGCACAAUGGGCGGAAGCCUGAUGCAGCAACGCCGCGUGCGGGAUGACGGCCUUCGGGUUGUAAACCGCUUUCGCCUGUGACGAAGCGUGAGUGACGGUAAUGGGUAAAGAAGCACCGGCUAACUACGUG
rnacentral:rRNA from 1 species